rnacentral:rRNA from 1 species
UACGUUCCCGGACCUUGUACACACCGCCCGUCAAGCCAUGGGAGUUGGGAGGACCUGAAGCCAGUUGCUGUAAGGCGCUGUUUAGGGUUAAACCAAUGACUGGGCU